CCUACGGGUGGCAGCAGUGAGGAAUAUUGGUCAAUGGCCGUGAGCCUGAACCAGCCAAGUCGCGUGAAGGAAGACGGAUCUAUGGUUUGUAAACUUCUUUUAUAGAGGAAUAAAGGUAUCCACGUGUGGAUAUUUGCAUGUACCCUAUGAAUAAGCAUCGGCUAACUCCGUGCCAGCAGCCGCGGUAAUACGGAGGAUGCGAGCGUUAUCCGGAUUUAUUGGGUUUAAAGGGUGCGUAGGUUGUUUGUUAAGUCAGUGGUGAAAGUUGGUGGCUCAACCAUAAAAUUGCAGUUGAAACUGGAAGACUUGAGUGUGUUUGAGGUAGGCGGAAUGCGUGGUGUAGCGGUGAAAUGCAUAGAUAUCACGAAGAACUCCGAUUGCGAAGGCAGCUUACUAAGCCAUAACUGACACUGAAGCACGAAAGCGUGGGGAUCAAACAGGAUUAGAUACCCGGGUAGUC
rnacentral:rRNA from 1 species